UACGUAGGGUGCAAGCGUUGUCCGGAAUUAUUGGGCGUAAAGAGCUCGUAGGCGGUCUGUUGCGUCGGCUGUGAAAACCCGGGGCUCAACCCCGGGCCUGCAGCCGAUACGGGCAGACUAGAGUUCGGCAGGGGAGACUGGAAUUCCUGGUGUAGCGGUGAAAUGCGCAGAUAUCAGGAGGAACACCGGUGGCGAAGGCGGGUCUCUGGGCCGAUACUGACGCUGAGGAGCGAAAGCGU
rnacentral:rRNA from 1 species